AGGAAGGAGAGGAGGAGGAAAUAGGAAGAGGAAGAGGAUGAAGGAGAAGGGAAAACAAAGGUGGAAGAGGAAGAGAAAGUUCCCUGAUGGAGCACACCAUGGCACCUAAUGUUUAAAAUAUUGGAGGCUACAGAUAGAUGUGGAGACAGCCGGAAUGUACAGUCCCUCCACUGUUGGUUUCAUGGAGACAGCAAGAUUCAUAAGUGUCCUGAGAGCAUGUUUACAGGCCCCUGGGGACUGUGGCAUUAACUAAAUGAAGAGCAAUGGAUGACCCCAUGCUGUGGGAUCAGACACAUCCAGCGAAGACACUAGCGGAGGAGAGGUGCACCUAUUAGAACAAUCACGGAGGCAGCCGCUGACGUAGACAGAGCAGUUCCCCCCAGACUGCCUUCCACCUUGCCUUCAUUGACUGCUCAUAUUUAUAAGCCAAUUUCUCUGGGCAUAAAUCUUUUAAACACAUCCAGCUAACUUCUGCAGGGGUGCCCCAUGAGACCCCGACUACUGAAUGAACUGUCUCAG